AGACAAUGUCGUGGGAGGAGGAGAGAUUAGAGCUAGCUUGUGCGCAUCCACGCUAGCACCCAGGGAACAGCCCCACGCACACGGUUCAACACAGGGAAGCCAGGACACUUUGCUCAAAAUUGACACUCCCAGAACGCAUGUCCAGGCACCCACUGCGUGUCCGCACCCACUUGCAAGAGACGAGCUCAGCCAUGGCACAAUGCUCCCUUUGCGCACCUUCACAACCCAGGCUGCAGGGAAGGGACCACAGCAAGAUGCCUGCAGAACCAACCUAUUUCCCCACAGCCAGUCUGCAAGCCUUUUGGUGUUCAACGGAAAACUGACCACCAGCGGAAGACAACUUAAAUGCCCAAACCAAGCAUCAUGUAUCAACUUCAGCUGUGCAAGCUACCGGGUAUCCCCCGACAAUAAAACCAACAUAUUCAGAAGGUCCCCAGUGAAAGGUUUGGUCACAUUUUGCUACAAAAUGGACAACUGUUGGCCUUUUGCUCUGAGGUUGAAGCCACAGCAAGCAGCUCCAAAAACAAACUUCACCGCACCACUGAG